UACGUAGGUGGCAACCGUUACUCGGAAUCACUGGGCAUAAAGCGCGCGCAGGCGGCUCCGUAAGUCAGGUGUGAAAUCCCUCGACCUAACCGAGGAACUGCGCCUGAUACUGCAGAGCUCGAGGCUGGGAGGGGAGAGUGGAAUUCCCGGUGGAGCGGUGAAAUGCGUUGAUAUCGGGAGGAACGCCGGUGGCGAAAGCGGCUCUCUGGUCCAGUUCUGACGCUGAGGCGCGAAAGCUAGGGGAGCAAACGGGAUUAGAAACCCCUGUAGU
rnacentral:rRNA from 1 species